UUAACCGCUCUAACCUUUAACACGAGAGUUUGAAUACGAAAAAUCAAUUUGCAAAUAAUAUUAUUGAUCUUAUUGAAAAUCAGAGUGAGAACACGUCCUAAAAGAAGGAAACUGACACCCAACAAAACAAAAGAACCUACAAAUAAAUAUAGGCAAAGCAUAAAACAAAACCAAAUGUCAACCUUUAAACCCACAUAGAAUCCUCUUAAAUAAUAGAACAAAGAUAACACCUUGAAAAGCCUCACUCAAUCGGAGGUCUUCCGAUAAUCCACAAUAUAGCAAGCGAUGCAAUGUACUUAAAAGAAAUCUCACCUCAACCCCUA
rnacentral:lncRNA from 1 species